rnacentral:lncRNA from 1 species
UAAAGUAAAAGAAACAAUGAAACAAAGAAGAAAAGAAACAGAAUAGCUAGAAAAGAAACAGAGAAAGAGACGAAAAACAGGGGAAGAAAAAGGGAAAGAAAAUAAAAAGGGGAAAUUGAGAUUUUAAAGCUUCAAGUUAAUUGGUAAGCUAAAUUUAGCCCUUUUCUCUUCAUUUUGAUGUUUUAGAAGCUUUAAAACAAAGUUUUGUUGAAGUUAAGUGGAGGUUAUGGAAGUUCAUAGGUUUUUGAACAUGAUUCAUUUUGAACAAGUUGUUAAAUUAGGGGUUUAGUUGAUAGAAUUUCUAGUUAGAAUAGAUAAAAAGAAUGAUUUGUAAACUAAGUUGUAAGUUUUACAUAGUUGGGAUUAAGUUACAAAAAGCCUUAAAUUAGGGUUUAUGUUGAAUAAAUGAUGGAAUUGAGGAUUUAUUUGAUAGAGUUUCUAGUUAGAGUUGAUACAAGGAUUAAAUUGUGAAGUAAGCUACAAGUUUUGAAUUUUAGGGAUUAAAUUGGGGAAAAUUCGAAAUUAGUGAAAAAUGCUGAAAAUUUUGUAGAUAAAAUUUAGUUUAGAAGAAAUUUGAAUAGAAAUAGAGUGUGAAUUAAAUUAGAAAAGUAGAUAAAUUUAGUUAGGAUUAAAUUGGAAUCAAAGUCUAAAUUAGAUAGAAAUUUUAUUAUUAUUAAUUUAUGUUGUAAUUAAUGGUGUAAAUUAUUAUUAUUUUCGUAGCUAACAAGGAACUCGAAGCAUCGGCACACAAAGGAAAGGAGAAGGUUAUUGAGGAAUAAUCGAGUAAAUUCGGGUUUGUAUUACUAUAAUUCAAGUUAUUUAUUAUUAAAUGCUAAAUUUUAAUUUAUAUGUGUCUAGUAAAUGAAAUGUGAG